GGCUCCCUGCAGUGUCCGUGAUAGUAGCUGAGUCUUGAGCCAACACCCGUUAAACGGGGGCUACGAUAGAAUGGCGGAGUGCCGCCGCAAGGCAGCGUGAAACCAUUCUGAGGCUCCCACCUGUCUUACGGGUUCAGAGACUGCACUACACGACACCGCAGGGUUUAU
rnacentral:other from 1 species